rnacentral:rRNA from 1 species
GACGAACGCUGGCGGCGUGCUUAACACAUGCAAGUCGGACGGUAAGGCCCUUUGGGGUACACGAGUGGCGAACGGGUGAGUAACACGUGGGUGACCUGCCCUUCACUCUGGGAUAAGCCUGGGAAACUGGGUCUAAUACCGGAUAUUCACUUCUUGCUGCAUGGCGGGGGGUGGAAAGGUUUUUCGGUGGGGAUGGGCCCGCGGCCUAUCAGCUUGUUGGUGAGGUAACGGCUCACCAAGGCGACGACGCGUAGCCGGACUGAGAGGUUGGCCGGCCACAUUGGGACUGAGACACUGCCCAGACUCCUACGGGGGGCUGCAGUAACGAAUCUUCCGCAAUGUACGCAAGUAUGACGGAGCGACGCCGCGUGUAGGAUGAAGCCCUUCGGGUGUAAACUACUGUCAGGGGAUAGAAAGUUCUGAUCGUCCCCAGAGGAAGGC